UCUCUUCCGUCUCGACUUCAUCUUGCAUGCUCAGAAAGAUGGAAAUUCUUUUGGACUUCUGAUACUGACUGUGGGCAAUGACCUACUGCGUCUGCAGGCGG